rnacentral:lncRNA from 1 species
CUUUACUACUGCUGCGGAAAAGAGGACAACACUCCACAUUUCUGGCAUUGUAAAUGACAACACCGCAACUGAAAGCAAGCUUGAAUUUCUGGGAGUAGCAUUAGGAUACAGGACCCCUGCUGAGCUCACCAGUUCCUUGCUCUACACAGCUGCUUUCUCAGCUGGGGUUUUGAAAUAAGCACUGUGAGAAAAGACAGAAAUGACCAUGAUGCAUCUUUCUCACUAUGAGAAAAAGGUACCAUGUGAAGGCCUGGGCAUAUAACAUGAAACAAGAAAGAUAAGGCCCGUGCUUACAUAGAACUUGGUGAAGAAUCUAGACCAUAACAAGCACACAGAGAAAACGUAUCACAAAUUGUGCUAAAGUUCUGUAAAGGGAUUAAGAUGAAGUGUCACAAGACUGAAUUAGACAGAGUGCCCUUGAAAGAGAAUACUGAGUAUGUUCCUGUGUCACCUUAUUUGCCAAUAGUGCCAAUUUUUAGAAUGGAGGGUGUAGAUCCAUCCUUUGCAACUGGUGAGGACCUCCUCAGUAAGGCACUGAGCCAGGAGUCUAUACAGCCAUGCCAGCAGGGAGCACUGUCUUUCAUUGUCUGAUGUUUAUUGCAAACCUGUUCUUUUCAGCUUUUUGUUGUUUCAGCCUAGUCCAAAGACGUUUACAUCCUGGAAGAGAACUUGCUGGCUUUUCACCUCAGCAUGUAUGGGCCAAACUAAUAUAACAAGAAGUCUUGAGAGGAGUCAGCGGCCAAGCUCCAUGUCUUGCAGCCAAACAAUGCUGUGGGAUGGAAGGUGGGAUGUCAUGUGUCUGGUUUACAGCACUCACGUAUCAGUUGGCAGUUAACGGAAGUGCUACUGAUUGGUGAUAUGCCUACUCCCCCUUCACCUUCGAUCAUGAUUGUAAACUUCGUGAGGACAUCACCAAAGGCUGACAUUGGCAACAUGCUUCCUGUACAAUCUGCAGAACAACGAUGGAACAAAAUAAACACCUUUUCUUUAUAAAUUACCCGGCUUCAUGUAUUCCUUCAUAACAAUGCAAAGCAGCCUAAUACAAAUUGUCAGUGAGUAGGCAGAUUUUCAGAAUGUAUGGCUAAUUGGAAUUUCCAUGGUCCUAUAUGAGAAGAGAUUUGAAGUAAUUCCAUAGAAUGUUAUGAGCGCCCUGGGAGAAGAAAAAGGGUGAUUUUUCAGAAGGAAAAGAGUGUAAGAAAAACAUGAAAUUCAAUUUUCCAAUGACAGUUCUG